rnacentral:pre_miRNA from 1 species
AUUCCGCGCAUAUACUCUCUCUCUCCCAAAAAGACUUUCCCCGUCUUAUAUGAAUUUUUUUAUUAAUAUUUUUAUUAUUAUUAAAUAAUAAAAUAUAAAUAAUACUUUAUGCAUAACUUAUCUUUUUAAAAUUUUUCAUAAUUUUUUAAAAUUAAAUGGACGGUCAAACGUUAGGCACGGAAAUCCAGCGAUUGAGUUUUC